GAAGGCCGACACGGGAAGCGACCCUCGGUGGUGCGCGGAUGUCGUGAGGUUAGGUUCGCCAUGCAUGGUUAAAGAACUCAAAUCGAUUCGUCUACCUCUCACAGUUUGAGACUGCUUGAUCGCUAUGCUACACUGAGUAACAAUGAAAUAUGAUGAUGACAUGGUCUUGGUGAUGUUAUAUAUACCCUUUUGGUUGGUUCUAUGCUUGCUUAGAGUAGGUUGCUAACUUAGAUCGGAUAACAAACUUAGAAUCUGAGCUAAAACUUUUCAAAUAAGGAUCUACAUAGUGCUUUUGGCAAACAAACCCCCUUAGCCAAAGAGCCGACAUGUCUAGAAGUGGUGGAGUAGCUUACUCCCGUCGGUUAAGUCUUGUUGAGCUUACUAGCUCAGCCUUGUUGUGGCUUUUCUUUUUCAGGUGAAGUUGCUGCUCCCGAGUCCUCCCCUGUUGGCACUUGGCCGCCCCAACUCCCUCCGGGUUGGACGGUCGACUGGGAUCCCUCCUCGGACGGCGAGGAGAGGGAUCACUGACGUCUUGGCAGGCCUCACCAAGGACGUCCGACCCCGACGAAGUAGCUUCCGCUCGUUUUUGCCUUCUGUCUUUUUUGUUUGAACCUUGUAAAAACUCUAAUAUUGUUUGAUGUUGAACUAAAAUGGUCAAUUUGUUUAACUUGGUGGACUUGUUGUAUUCUCUGGAACCACUCACCUUCGUGUGGGUUUUGCUAAACUCGGUCCUGUCAAAGUGGUUAAAUCGGAGGGAAUCCGACGGCAUCUCGAGUUAGCCCAAUUAAGGCCGAGUGUCGCAUGUUAGGUGACUUAACCAUACCUUGAUUUGGCUAAUCCGAGGUGGAUCCGCCACAGCUGGUAUCAGAGCUGGCUUAGCAAGCCAGAGAACAAAAUAGGCCCUAAUCACUUCUUUUAAAUAAAAGUUGCAAAGAAACCUUUUGAAAAAUCUCGUACGAUCGUUAAGGAUGACUUUAGUACGAGACGCCCUAGGGGAUUUUGGGGUUGUUUUAGGUGGCUAAUACUUAUUGGUUAUCUUGCUAACCCUCCAGCACUUCGCCACGUGUAUCAUACGUAUGCCGAGUCUGCAUCACGAGUAUGCGAGGGUUGAUAGGGAGUUCUAUUCAAAGGACCCUAUCAUUGCGGUUGUUUCUCCCACGUUUAUCAUACGUGCACAGAUUUCGUAUGUUAAUUCAUACGAAGGGUGAUAUGGUUCGAUUCCAACAAGCCUAUCAUCACGGUUGUUCGCCACGUUUGUUAUACGUGCGCUGAUCCCGCAUCACGAGUAUGCGAAGGGUUAUACGGUUCCAUUCAAAAGGGACCUAUUUCCACGGUUGUGUGCUGUCCAUGCAGCCUUGAACGCAUGGGUGUGCCGUUCCUAUAGUGAACGGUAAUGUUUAGGGACGCUUUCGUGGGUGCUAGCAUGAAAGGUUCAUGUGGUUGUGUUUUCUGCAGGUACACUAACCGCGUUUGCUUAGGAGACGCUACUAGAACCGACUAGCUACUAUAGGGAGAGACGUAAUUGUUGCCUUGCCACCGGCACUGACUGCGUAAGACCAAGUUUUGGCAGUUGUUUUGGUUGAGAAACAAGGUAGGCCGUGCAUGCGACAUAAACUAAAAUCUGUGAAACCACCCUCCCCAAAAGGAACCUUGCCUUGGAAAAGCUCUUCUUCGGUUCUAAGGACUUCUAGUUUUCUUCCAGCUUGUGUUCGGUCAAAUCCGAGUGCUUUUUCUGUCCGACCCCUUUUCUUCUUAGAGUUCUAUCUCAUGCUGUUUUGGUUCUUGGUUCCAGAUGGCCGCUCCCAGACACGUUCUGUACGGCGCCGAGGGCAUCUCCCACUCGACGUGCUUGCACUUCAAGGGUUUUCCCGCUAUUUUGUGGGACACCUUGAGGUGGUUCGGGUAUCAGUCCCCGCCCUUGUACAUGGGACGGAUGUACACAGCGUUCAGAGGUGCAACGUGCAGGCGGUGGUACCUCAACCCCCUGUGCGGCCCGAGUGGCCCUAGCUCGAAAUCUUGACGUACGGACACGCCCUGGAAGAUACAUGGGAGUCGGUUGCUCUACAACUCCUCACCCAGUUCUGUCAGCUGCACCCGCUGGAGGUCACCCUGGACCCAAUCGGCCUGUUCCCUGCGAGGGAUCGGCUAGACCCGGCGUGGCUGGAUCGUGUCAACAACAUAGAGGUGUUGGCCACAUCCCACUCGAUGGUCACCAUCUCCACCAAUGUUAGGUGCAUAUCGGCCCUAUAUCGGCUGAUCGAGCUUCAAGGCCAAAUCAACUCAUCCAAAGAGGCAUCCAAAUCCACGACAUGCAAGACCGAAUCUCCGAGCUUGAGGGAGAAGUAACCGAUCUAGUGGAUGGCAUGAUCGAGCUGUCCGAGGAGAAGAUGGAGCUAGCAGUUGCCAAUGCCCAUCUGGACGAGCAUCACGCUAAGCUCGACGAUAUGCACGCCCUUCAGAUGCAGUUGGAAGAGCAAGAAGACCCUGAGGAGGUUGAGGGAGCGUCCAGCAUGGACAUUGAGGAUGAUGGCGCCCCUUCUCCAACUCACAGUGUUCCCUCGUAGGUCAGGAACUGUAGGAUCCCAUCUUUUGUUGUACUCCUCGGCAACCGAAGUUUUGGAUAGUCCUGUAAUAGGUUAGCCUUGAGUUGAGUACUUCCUCCUGUGUUUCAAGACCCGCAAUGUAAUGAUCUCAAUUGAAAUAAGAUCUUAGCCUGACCUUUGAGUCCUUUGCAACACGUUUGGGAUGCCAGACUGUGUGAGUUUGUGCUGUGACCACACGCCCGUUUUCUGUGGAUCUGUCCAAAGCUGGCCGACCCCGGGUUGCGAGGUCGGACGCGCCCGACCCCUCGAGGCAAUUCUCUGCCUCGCCCGACCCUUCUUGUGCGGUUCACUUUGCCCGACCCUUCUCGUGCAGAUCGCUUCACCCGACCCCUUCCUGAGCGGUUUGCUUCACCCGACCCCUUCUCGUGCAGAUCGCUUCACCCGACCCCUUCUUGUGUUGUUUUGCCUAGCCCGACCCCUUGGCCUAAGAUCGGAUAUAAUGGAACUCCUGGAAUCUAGUUAUGGUUCGCUUGAAGUCGUGUGCAGAGCUAAGAUAGAUGCUAACUAAGAUGGCAAUAGGAAGUGUGUGUCUCCCUUAUAAAGCUGUGUGUUGCAUUGUCGGCAAGAGUCACAUUUGAGGAUUUAACUUGUGCGUUCCCAUCUAUUUGGAAUACUUCUGAGGUUAUGGGAUUAAUGGAACGUUGGCUCUUGCAGAUGGCGCAUCACACCAUGUCCGGCUCUGUGCCCAGCAGCAGUGAGCAGAGGCAGGAUCUUCCCCUGCCCCCGCCCCCGUCUCCGCUGGAGGCAAUCUUAGCGGCUCGAACCGAGCUGCUGAGGCAUCUCGUGCAGGGGCAAUAGCAGCAACAGCCCCAUGGAGGAAGGGCUCAGCAGCAGCCUCAUGUUGCUCGCUAUGAGGACUUCUUGGGGACGCAGCCCCCUUUGUUCCAGAGGAUGCAAGACCCGCUCGAUAUCGACGCCUGGGUUCGCACAAUCAAAUCCAAGUUCGAGUUUCUCACCGCCCCGUGCCCCGACCACAACAAGGCCUGGUUUGCGGCUCAGCAGCUACGUGGUUCCGCCUGGCUCUGGUGGGAUCACUACCAUGCUAUGUUGCCGGCCGACCAUGUCGUCAGCUGGAACGAGUUCAAGACAGCGUUCAGAGGGCAUCACAUCCCGGAAGGUCUCCUGGAGCGCAAGCUCAACGAGUUCCUGGCUCUUACCCAGGGAAACCGAGAUGUCCUGUACUACGCCCAAGCUUUCAAUGACCUGUGCCGUUAUGCCGGCUAUCAUACGGGCACCGACAAAAAGAAGCGGGACAGAUUCCGCCGAGGGCUAAGUCUGGAGCUCAGAGAGAGGUUGAACCCUAUUAAGGUGGAUACCUACAACGAGUUGGUCAAUUUGGCCAUCUCAAAAGAGGACUGCAUGCAGGCUCUCAAAGCCGACCAGAAGAGAAAGGCCUCCAUGGCAUUUCCAAGCCCGCCCGCUCGAAGGUUCAGAAUGGUUCCUCCACAGGCGCCCAGCCGACCCAAGCAGUCGGGAAGAUGGGUUGCCCGACCCCCACCAGCAGCAGCGCCUUGUUUUCCUGGCUUCCAACCACAGGUGCCCCGGACGACCCUGCCACCACCACCACGUCCUGCAACUGGUAACCGCUGCUUCACCUGCGGCAAUGAAGGGCAUUUCGCUAAGGACUGCCCUAGGAACAGGAAUCAGCAGACUAGCCAGAACCCCAUGGCGAACAGAGGAAGAAGGCCCAAGGUGCAAGUCCGCCAAGGAUGGAUCAACUACACCAGCUUGACCCAGCUCCCCGAAGGUGCGCCAGUGAUGACGGGUACUUUCCUUGUCUUAAAUCAAACUGUUGUUGUGUUGUUUGAUUCGGGAGCCUCCCAUAGCUUCAUCGGGAGUAAGACUAGAGAAAGAUGUGAGCUAAGUGUCGGUCACACUAAAGGAUCAUAUGUGAUCUCCACUCCUGGAAGGAAGAUAGCCUCGGACCAGAUCGUUACUCUUGUACCUCUCCAGCUAGGCCAAACUCUUUUCAAGGAAAAUCUUAUCAUCCUUGACCUGGAAGGAAUAGAUAUCAUACUUGGGAUGGAUUGGAUGACCAGACACCAAGUGGUUCUGGAUACAGCUGCCCAAACUCUCCAUAUCAACUCACCCUUUCAUGGCAGUUCUUGUAGGGAUACGAGGUAGGCUACACUAGCGCAAUUCAAAAUUCUACCGCGUAUAACCAGGAAGAACUGCCGUAUAAGGAUCACGGGAUUACCACUCGACGCACUACUGGUGCGAAAGAUGUAGAUAUGCGUCGAUGCAGUGAAGACGAUCACGUAGUCGUACGUAGUCGAUCAGCGUAGUCGUACGUAGUAGAUCACGUCCAGCAGCUCCUCAGCAGCUCGUCCACGUGCAGCAAGAUCGCCUCCAGUACCGCGGCUCGUCGUUAGCUCGUCGUGGCUCGUCGGCGGCUCGUCCAAGUGCUGCAGGCGUAACACCUCCAAGGUAUCCACACGUGCAGGGAGGAAGCGUCGCAAGCCGGACUACUAGAUCCGUGAGUUGCAACAGGCGAGGGCGUGGGAGGCGCGGCAGGUGUGUUUCGCCAAAAAGGUGUAAACCCUAGGGCGCCCCCACCCCUCUAUUUAUAGAGGUUCCUGACGGGCCUCUGGAUCCGAGGCCCAUUAGUACUUCUAAACCUAAUCCAACUCGGAUCGGAUCCAAAUUGGGCUUCCAGCCCCUUAAGUGUGUGACCCUAUGGGUUCGGAUACGUAUAGACAUAGCCCGAGUACUCCUACUCGGCCCAAUAGUCGGUAGCGGCCUCUAGCAAGACGUGCCAACUCCUAUACGCACACGAAGAUCAUAUCAGACGAACCAUCACAACAUAAUAUACAUGCUAUUCCCUUUGCCUCACGAUAUUUGGUCUAGCUUCAAGCCGACCGCUCUUUCUCGACCUUGUGAUUCGGAAUCCCUUUGUAGGUUAACUCUUAACCGUACGUAGCAUGGCCAUGCAUUUUCGGAUCCGAUCACUCGAGGGGCCCAGAGAUAUCACUCUCAAUUAGAGAUGGGCAAAUCCCAUCUUGAUUGACCAUGUCUCAUAGCAUGCUUCUUGACAAACCCGAAAACUACCUUUAUAACUACCCUGUUACGGCGUAGCAUUUGAUAGCCCCUAAGUAGGUCGAUCCACAUCUAGAAUACAUGUGACAAUCUCAGGUCUAAGGACAAAGCGUAUAUGUUGUUUAAAGAGAGAACUACUUCUCGUGUUGGGUCAGUCCUAGCACAUGUCUCCACAUGUGUCCACAUUAUUAGUUCAACAUCUCCAUGUCCAUGACUUGUGAAACAUAGUAAUCAACUAAUACAUGUGCUAGUCUAAUAUUCAUGUGUGUCCUCACAUGAACUCCGACUAGGGACAACUUUAGAAUAACCAUACAAGUAAAGAGUUUCACAUACAAUUCACAUAAUUGCAAAUCAAUUCAAGUAGCCUUCAAUGAAUAUUCAAUGAACACAACAUACAAAUCAUGGAUACAAAUGGAAUAUCAUCAUCUCUAUGAUUGCCUCUAGGGCAUACCUCCAACAGUUCUACCAUACCCUUGAAACCCCCUAAGUGCGCACUUCCCUGUGCGUACCCUCUAUUGGAAGCCCGGCUAGAAAGCCUCCCUGUUGUCUGUGAGUACCCGGAUGUGUUUCCAGAGGACUUGCCCGGCAUGCCACCCUAUAGAGAUGUGGAGUUUUCCAUAGAGUUGAUCCUCGGCACCGCUCCGAUAUCCAAGAGACCCUAUCGGAUGCCACCUGUUGAGUUGGCCGAGUUGAAGACCCAGUUGCAUGAUCUGUUGGAAAAAGGCUUCAUCCGACCUAGUACAUCACCCUAGGGUUGCCCAGCCCUGUUUGUGAAGAAGAAGGACGGGAGUCUACGCAUGUGCGUGGACUACCGACCCUCAAUGCGAUGACUGUCAAGAACAAGUACCCACUCCCCCGCAUCGAUGUAUUUUUUGAUCAGUUAGCUGGAGCAAGAGUGUUCUCCAAGAUCGAUCUUUGUUCAGGUUAUCACCAAAUCAAGAUCCGACCCUGCGACAUCCCCAAAACAGCCUUCUCCACAAGAUAUGGACUAUAUGAGUACAUGGUCAUGUCUUUUGGACUCACCAAUGCACCCGCAUACUUCAUGUAUCUCAUGAACUCGGUGUUCAUGUCCGAGUUGGACAAGUUUGUGGUGGUGUUCAUUGAUGAUAUCCUAGUGUACUCGAAGAACGAAGAAGAACAUGCCGAUCAUCUUCAUGUAGUUCUCCAACGGUUGAGAGAUCAUCAGCUCUAUGCCAAGUUCUCCAAUUGUGAAUUUUGGUUAGAUAGUGUCAAGUUCUUGGGACACACUAUCUCUCGGAAUGGCAUAGCCGUCGACCCCAGCAAGGUGCAGGAAGUCAUGUACUAUCGGCGCUUCAUACCAGAUUUCUCCAAGAUAGCUAAGCCGAUGACAGAGCUGCUGAAGAAAGAGGUCAGAUUUGUGUGGAACGGCAAGUGUGAGGAAUCCUUCAAGACCCUGAAGCACUUGCUGACCACAGCCCCAGUUUUGGCUCAACCCGACCCCUCUAGGCCGUUUGACGUGUACUGUGACGCCUCUGGCACUGGACUUGGGUGUGUUCUUAUGCAAGACAACCGAGCCAUUGCCUAUGCCUCACGGGCGUUACGACCUCAUGAGCUGAACUACCCAACCCAUGAUCUUGAGUUGGCAGCAGUGAUCCAUGCCUUAAAAAUAUGGAGGCACUAUCUGAUGGGCACUUACUGAAACAUCUACACCGACCACAAGAACCUCAAGUACAUCUUCACUCAAGCCGACCUCAACAUGCGCCAAAGAAGAUGGUUGGAGUUGAUAAAGGACUAUGAUUUGGAAGUGCACUAUCACCCCGACAAGGCCAACAUGGUGGCCGAUGCGCUCAGCCGCAAGACCUUUUGCAACUGUCUGUCGGCAACAACCUUCACCGAGACCCUGUGUCAUGAGAUGGGAAAACUUAGUUUGGAAAUUAUUUCCCAUGGAACCCUCGGCCACAUAUCUCUUGAGUCUAUUUUGGAAGAUCAAAUAGGAUCAGCCCAAUUAGAGGAUGAGGAAGUAAGGCGGAUCACAAGGAAGAUUUCAUUGAAGGAUGAAGGGUAUAAACAAUUCCGACAGGAUGAGACUGGGAAGGUGUAUUAUGGAACCCAACUUGUUGUACCAACCGACCCCAAUCUGAGAAAGCAAAUCCUAGAUGAGUCUCAUCUCUCUAAGUUCUCAAUCCAUCCUGGUAGCAAUAAGAUGUACCAUGAUCUCCGUCAAACCUUCUGGUGGAGUGGAAUGAAGCCGGAGAUUGCCCGGUAUGUUUCAGAAUGUGACACUUGCCAACGUGUCAAGGCUAGCCAUCUAAAGGUAGCAGGUACCCUGCAGCCCCUACCUAUUCCCUCUUGGAAAUGGGAAGACAUCAGCAUGGAUUUCAUUGUUGGGCUGCCCCUUACAUCGCAGCGACAUGAUUCCAUUUGGGUUGUAGUGGACCGCCUGACCAAGACCGCCCACUUCCUUCCUGUCCACACCACCUACACGGCCAAGAAGUAUGCAGAGUUGUAUCUUGACCGCAUUGUUUCCCUACACGGUGUGCCUAGGACGAUCAUCUCUGAUCGAGGAGUUCAGUUUGUAGCACGCUUUUGGGAACAGCUACAAGCAUCAAUGGGCACCAAGCUCAUCCGUAGCUCAACCUAUCAUCCUCAAACUAAUGGACAGACUGAAAGGGUUAAUCAGAUUCUUGAAGACAUGUUGAGAGCUUGUGUCAUCCAUUAUGACAAAAAUUGGGACAAGUGCUUGCCCUUGGCAGAGUUCUCCUAUAACAAUAGCUACCAGACUAGCUUGAAGAUGGCACCAUUUGAAGCAUUGUAUGGUCGGAGAUGUUGAAUUGGUCACAAGCUGGAGAAAGACAAACAUAUGGUCCUGAUCUAGUGGUAGAAGCCGAAGAGCAAGUAAAGGUAAUUCAAGCAAAUCUCAAGGCCACCCAAUCUCGACAGAAGAGUUACUUCGACAGGAGAAGAAGACCCCUGCAGUUUGACAUUGGUGAUCAUGUGUAUCUUCGAGUCUCCCUGACCAAAGGAGUGCAACGGUUUGGAGUAAAAGGAAAAUUGGCUCCCCAUUACAUCGGCCCAUAUGAGAUUGUGAAAAUUUGUGGACCCGUUGCCUAUCGGAUCCAACUCCUAGAACAACUCUCGGCCAUACAUAAUAUUUUCCAUGUGUCUCAACUGAAGAAAUGUGUCCAAGUCCCAGUCAAGAUCUUAGAGCAAGAGCAACUUCAACUUGACCUAUGCCGAGUACCCGGCCAGAGUUCUCGACCAAAAGGAGAGGCGCACCCGACGCCAAGUGGUGAAAAUGUACAAGAUCCUAUGGAAUAACCACACCGAAGAUGAAGCAACAUGGGAAACAGAAGAGUACUUGAAGAAGCUUUUCCCAGGUUUCCUUUCCAAACAAGGAGGUAAGGACUACACACCCCCACCGGUUACUUCUAUAUCCGAAUCUCGGGACGAGAUUCUUUUUAAGGGGGGUAGGUUGUGACGACUGACCCCAAAUCCUUCGAGUUAAUCUUAAUCCGAGUCCCUAAUCCCCCUCUCAGUUUCCCCGAGUUGAGUGCUCACCCUCAAUUCUGGUCCCGACCCCCGAUCCCGACCCCUGAGAUCGGACCCCUCUCCGCUGGUGGGGGCUCCGACCCCUACCGAGUCCAAACCCAUACCACCGGAUCUCCUAAGUCUCCCAACAGCAGUCUCCCUUCAAUCUGUGCAGUGGACCAACCGAGACUGACUGGUGGACCCACAAAAUCUUUUCCCCAGAUCUUCCGCGACAGACGCACUCGAGUGGCAUACUCGCUUCAGAGUUCCCCCACCGCGUGGCUCAACUUCUCCGACCCCGGCCGCGACAGUCCCUUUCCCACCUUGUCAGAGCUGCGCCCCGACAGUCUGUUGCUUCAUGCUCGCCCAUGCGACCGCAGCUCGCCUGUCUUCUCACCUAUGCGCCCUCGCUUCUAGCGCCGUUCCCUCGGUCACGUCCUUCAGAUCCGCUGCACGACGACGCCCGCCUCCGCCAAAUCUCAACCACCGGCAAAACCACGCCUGUGCUACCCUGUCUCUAGUGCCCAAUGGCCGACGGUGUCGUCCCUGAAGUCCUGCUCCGCCACCCCGUUGCUCAAUCGCCGCCCCGGCAGAGCACUCGAUCGCUUCUUCCCGGUCUUCGUGCUACUCCAGCUCUCUCUCUUCCGCGCAGCUAUAAAAGGGAAGGCCAGAGCCCCGCUGGAGUCCCCUUCGCCAACGCUUCCCUCCCGCCUUGCUCUCUAUUUCGUGCUCGAGUGCUAUAGCCUAAGUCCCUAAGGAACUCUCCUCUCCGCUCCACGCCCACCCUUCCAAUCCACCCAGCCGCUUGCUCCUCCGCGCUGCGCAAGAGCUUGCUUGUUUCCAUAUGAAACACUGCCACCGCCGCCGGAGCACCGCCGGGCAUCGCCGUUGCCCAAGUCCUAGUGCUUCCCUCCUUCCGCCCAAGUCUGCUCUUUUCCGACCCCAAGCUUCACCUGGAAGACGAAGGUAAGCUGCCAACCCUUUUUCCGCCUCGUCCGACCCCUUCUGUUCGUCCGACCCUUUUUUCGCCUCGUCCGACCCCUUCUGUUCGUCCGACCCUUGUCCGCCUCAUCCGACCCCUUCUAUCCGCCGACCCUUUCUCCGCCUCGCCCGAGGGCUCGGCUGUAUCCUUUUCCUUCGCUUGAGGGUAUAUGUGUAAAGAUUUGGGGACUUCUCUGCGUUAAGUCUGAGGACCCCCAGCACAUCUAUUCCCUUGAUCUAAGGGUCAGCUCAUAAGUUCCUUCCCAUCCGACCCUUAUAUCUUGAUCUCAACCCACCUAAGUACACUUCCCUACCUUUUCUGUAGCUUUGCUACCAGUGUCCGAGCCUUAACUCACAAGUGUUGCUGUUGUUUAAACCGUCUAAAAGUGCUAACUCUUGCAUUUGCAUUUCGUGUAGAGUUGCAUCUCACUGAUGGUGACUACGAGCUGUAUCCGGCGCCCGAAGAAGGAGUUGCAGCAGAGCUCCCGCCUCCAGAAGCCGGAGCUGCCCCCGCAGAAGACCCCUUCCCUUCCUCCUCGUUUGAAGGCAAGCCCCGGAGCAUGAACCCAAUUUUUCCCAAACUUGCGCAUGCCUUCUCCAUCUAGUUUUGUGCAUUUACGUAUAGGUGUUGUUUGAAACCGUAGAUUGCAUGACUUAGUUCCCUUGAGCUGAACACUAGUCUGCUGGGUCCGAGUUGUUGCUAUGCUUAAUAGGGAGCGGUAAAAGCCGAGUGAUCUCCUGUCACUUGCGAGUUCAUAGGAGUUGGUUGUUUCUCUUCUGUUACAACUAUAAGGACGAUGGACGGGGCAGGGUUUUGGUUAACUCUUUGGUAGUCGGCUGAUCGCCCCGUCUAUCUAUGGAACUUGUUAAGGCCCGACACUGGUGGUGUUCGUGAUCAAGCGUUUGAAAGUACUAACCUCAUACUCAGUAUGGGAUGAGGAAGCCGAGUACCGGAUUGAACCUAGACGUGAGCGGUCGCCCCAUUGUCCUUGGAAGGGAGUUCCCCUGCGGUCGCACGUGGUGGCAAGUGUGGUCACAGAACGGCAGAGGCCGGGUCUGUGGAACAUUGCACCAAAGGAAAUGGGCCUGACACGGGUUAGGGGAUUUAUGGGGAAGGCCGACACGGGAAGCGACCCUGGGUGGUGCGCGGAUGUCGUGAGGUUAGGUUCGCCAUGCAUGGUUAAAGAACUCGAAUCGAUUCGUCUGCCUCUCACAGUUUGAGACUGCUUGAUCGCUAUGCUACACUGAGUAACAAUGAAAUAUAAUGAUGACAUGGUCUUGGUGAUGUUAUAUAUACCCUUUUGGUUGGUUCUAUGCUUGCUUAGAGUAGGUUGCUAACUUAGACCGGAUAACGAACUUAGAAUCUGAGCUAAAACUUUGAAAAUAAGGAUCUACAUAGUGCUUUUGGCAAAAAAAACCCUCUCAGCCAAAGAGCCGACAUGUCUAGAAGUGGUGGAG
rnacentral:lncRNA from 1 species